rnacentral:lncRNA from 1 species
GGGGCGAGCGCUCCAGGCCUCCUCCCGACCCUGCGCCGUGCCCAGCCCCUCUGCCCUCCUGUUACCCCGGGACCUCGGGCCGCCAGCCCCUUCCACGUGCAGGCUCCUGCUGCUCUCGCGGGGGCUUUUCGUGUGUCCCCCGAGAUGUCGAGGAAGCCAGGUGAGUUCCUCGCGACAGGCGGUGCCCUUUGCAGGAGGGGACAGGUAGCUGAGGCGUGGACAGAGUGACAGGCCAGGCUCAGGGGACACAGGUGAGACCCCCUCACUGGGCUGCCAGUUCCCGGGCUUGGGGCAUCCCAGUACGUCAGCGUCUGCGGCCUUACCUCCUGACACCUAAGGCCAGAGACAGAGCAGGCCCGCGCCCUGGGAGGUCCUGAUGUCCAGCCUGAAGAUUGAGGACAAAGCCACCACCUUUCACAAAAUGAGGCCAGACCACCUGCCUCCCUCCAGUCCCUGCGGCCUGGAGACGGAGUCAACAUUCUUAUCUGUGUUGGAUCUGAAUGUUCCUCCUUGCAAAGGAAACAAGGAGUGGACGUUCAGGCUGAUGGCCAGCUUCAAAGAUCGGGGCCUUUGAUUCCCAUCACUGGGAAGAAAGCCCUUCAGACAAGCCCCCCCAGGCUGCAGGUGCAUGGGGACCUUGAAGAACCCGUCCCCAUGGUCCCACGUCCAUGUGUCUCGAGACCUGUCGCAUCCUCGCUGAAACUCAAGAAUGUGAAACAGAGUCCAGCUCUCCCACGGGUGGCUGUGAUCCUUCUUCCUGGGGAGUCCUGCUGUCCCUGACUAGGGGCACCUGCCCACCUGUCAGCUGCUCCUCCCUCGGCUGGUCCUCCUGGGCUCUGAUGGCCCCAACAUUUCUAGCUCUUCUCACCCAUAGUGCCCCAAGCUUCAUGCAGCUGCGGCAGCAGCAUGAACAGACUGAGAUAGCGGCUUACAUGUAACCGGAAGCUGCAGAAAAACAUCUUCAGACAGCUGAGACGGCUCCCAGGACUCGUGCCUGGCACAGACACCAUCUGCCUGGCAGGGCAAAGAAAGGCGUCUGUGAGUGUGGGAGGAUUCCGAGUCUAACACCCUGAGCCCAGCCAGGAAGGGGCCAGGAAGGCCUCCUCGUGAACAACGAAUGAAACAGAUCCCAGAUCUCAGACAGGGCGGGGAAGGGGAGGGGUACCAUGUCAAGCAGCACUCUGUGUAAGUCGGCACCUGCGCACACUUGCAUGCAGACGUGUGUAUUGUGAGUGUAUGGACAUGUUAGAAAUGGAUGUGUGCAUGUGUCUGCAUGUGUUUGUGCAUUUAUGCACAGACACUACACGGGCAUGCACAUCAUGUACGUAUAUGUUUGCAUAUGUGCACGUGUGUGUACGUGCAUGUGUUCGUGUGUGCAUGCACACAGCAUGCGUGUGUGUGUAUACUUGCAUGCAUGCUAACAUAUGGUGGAGAAUAAAUAAUGAUCACCUCUCUGGAACUGGGGAAAGUAAGUGUUAAACAGAUUUUCGACAGGAAAUGCUGCUGCAAGGAAUUCGUCCGUAGGCUAGCACUACAACCUGGAGGCAGGGAGCAGUGAGGAGUGGAAGUCUUCCCAUCAGAAGUGAGGAAGGCUGGAUACGGUGGCUCACACCAGUAAUCCCAGCACUUUGGGAGGCAAAGGCAGGAGGAUCACUUGAGCCCAGGAGUUUGAGACCAGCCUAG